rnacentral:rRNA from 1 species
UGCACUUCUUGAGAGUGGCGAACGGGUGAGUAACACGUAGGUGAUCUACCGCAGGGGUUGGGGAUAGCCCAUGGAAACAUGGGGUAAUACCGAAUACGCUCAUUUGGCUGUGGCCGGAUGAGGAAAGGCGCUUCGGCGUCGCCCUGCGAUGAGCCUGCGCCCCAUUAGCUAGUUGGUAGGGUAAAGGCCUACCAAGGCGACGAUGGGUAGCCGGCCUGAGAGGGUGAUCGGCCACACUGGGACUGAGAUACGGCCCAGACUCCUACGGGAGGCAGCAGCUAAGAAUCUUCCGCAAUGGACGAAAGUCUGACGGAGCGACGCCGCGUGGGUGAAGAAGGCCGGAAGGUUGUAAAGCCCUUUUCUCGUUGAGGAAUAAGCACAGGAGGGAAUGCCUGUGCGAUGACGGUAGGCGAGGAAUAAGUCCCGGCCAAUUACGUGCCAGCAGCCGCGGUAACACGUAUGGGACGAGCGUUGUUCGGAAUCAUUGGGCGUAAAGGGCGCGUAGGCGGCGAGGUAAGCCUGGUGUGAAAGACCGCAGCUUAACUGCGGAACCGCGCUAGGAACUGCUUUGCUUGAGUUCAGGAGGGGGAGCUGGAAUUCCAGGUGUAGGGGUGAAAUCUGUAGAUAUCUGGAAGAACACCGGCGGCGAAGGCGAGCUCCUGGCCAUGAACUGACGCUGAGGCGCGAAAGCGUGGGGAGCGAACAGGAUUAGAUACCCUGGUAGUCCACGCUGUAAACGAUGUGCACUAGGUGUUGGACCACGAAGGUUCAGUGCCGGAGUCAACGCGUUAAGUGCACCGCCUGGGGAGUAUGCUCGCAAGGGUGAAACUCAAAGGAAUUGACGGGGGCCCGCACAAGCGGUGGAGCAUGUGGUUUAAUUCGAUGAUACGCGAG